rnacentral:ncRNA from 1 species
CCGUUGGAAAACCGGAUCGGCCCCGACGUAUAGUCGGGGUGGGAAGAUGGUGAGUCUGAUGUUGCUUCAGGCGAUUCCAUCGCAGCCCCGCUACUGUGACCGCCGAUCGAAACUCACAGGAGUCCUCCGGCAAACGCGGAACGCGGAUUGCGGAAGGGGACUUCAGUCACUGGACCGACGUGAUGUCGGACUGGGAAGGCGUGAGAAGUAGGCAGACCCCGAGAACCCUCGGGGGAACGAAGCGGAAGCCAGGAGACCGGCCGGCUUAACACGAUAUGU